rnacentral:rRNA from 1 species
AUUGAACGCUGGCGGCAGGCCUAACACAUGCAAGUCGAGCGAGCGGCGGACGGGUGAGUAAUGUAUGUGGACUGCCCGAUCGAGGGGGAUAACUACUGAAAACGGUAGCUAAUACCGCAUACUAUCGGAUAACCCAUAUGGGAUUAGCUAGUAGAUGAGGUAAUGGCUCACCUAGGCGACGAUCCCUAGCUGGUCUGAGAGGAUGAUCAGCCACACUAGGAAUAUGACGCGGCCCGGAAUCCUACGGAGGCAGCGUUGGGAAAUAUUGCACAAUGGGCGCGAGCCUGAUGCAGCCAUGCCACAUGUGUGAAGAAAGCCCUAAGGUUGUAAAGUACUUUCAGUCGGGAGGCAUUACCGACAGAAGAAGCACCGGCUAACUCCGUGCCAGCAGCCGCGGUGAUAC